AUGAACGCUGGCGGCGUGCCUAACACAUGCAAGUCGAGCGAGAAAUCUUUAAACAAAACUUCGGUCUAGUGAGAAGGUGGAAAGCGGCGGACGGGUGAGUAACGCGUAGGCAACCUGCCCCAUACAGAGGGAUAGCCUCGGGAAACCGGGAUUAAAACCUCAUAAUGCGAGAGAAUUACAUGGUUCUUUCGCCAAAGAUUUAUCGGUAUGGGAUGGGCCUGCGUCUGAUUAGCUAGUUGGUGGGGUAACGGCCUACCAAGGCAACGAUCAGUAGCCGACCUGAGAGGGUAAUCGGCCACAUUGGAACUGAGACACGGUCCAAACUCCUACGGGAGGCAGCAGUGGGGAAUAUUGCACAAUGGGCGAAAGCCUGAUGCAGCAACGCCGCGUGAGCGAUGAAGGCCUUUGGGUCGUAAAGCUCUGUCCUUGGGGAAGAAAAAAAUGACGGUACCCUUGGAGGAAGCCCCGGCUAACUACGU
rnacentral:rRNA from 1 species